UACAGAGGUCUCAAGCGUUGUUCGGAUUCAUUGGGCGUAAAGGGCGCGUAGGCGGCGAGGUAAGUCGGGUGUGAAAUCUCAGAGCUCAACUCUGAAACUGCACUCGAUACUGCCGUGCUUGAGGACUGGAGAGGAGACUGGAAUUUACGGUGUAGCGGUGAAAUGCGUAGAUAUCGUAAGGAAGACCAGUGGCGAAGGCGGGUCUCUGGACAGUUCCUGACGCUGAGGCACGAAGGUCAGGGGAGCAAACGGG
rnacentral:rRNA from 1 species